GGCCCCUUUAUUUGGGGGCCUAGUGCUAAUUCCCCCUUGCCCCCUCCUAUUGGUAGUCAUGCAUGAUGUACAUGUGACUAGUAAUGUGUUAUCUUGUAAUAUUUUUAUGUAGAAAUGUUCAGCUAAUGGUACAGGAUGUGGUGUUUGUCAUUCAAGGGAUCUGUUGUUCAGGUUUAGUGAAGAUGUGGUUACAUGUCCUAACUGCUCCUCACACUUUCACUGGUUAUAGCAAGUUCCUGUUAAAGGUUCAAGUACAUUAGGUAUGUGUCAAUAUAAUUAUAUUGUUCUCUGUUCUAGUGUGGGCAGCAAUGUAGUGCCGCCUCCACGUGACACUGCCUGGGAUGACUAGUGGCUACUACUGCUAGUGAUGCUAAGAACACUACAUACAAGAAGAAUAGAUACUAACAGUAGCUAUGUAUGAUGAAUUACAUUCCAUUGUUAGGUUAAUGUCAAUAAGAGGAUAAGUACAAUUCUCUGCUAUUGAAGACUACAUUGAGAAGUUAAUUGUUUGCUGUUUGAAGCUGUACAUUAACUGAAGACUAUAAAGAAUUACAUAACAUUAUUGUUUAUAAUUUUAGUAUUUCUGUUUAAUACACAAAGUUAUCUUUUUAUCAUUGAUUAUUAUGAA